AUUAGAGGUAGAAAUAGGCCAACGGCCUGUCAGGGGCCUGCGGGUUGGCCUGCUAUCAGCCUAGCCUAGCCUGGCCUGAUUUGUUUAUCUAAAUAUGCCAGGCAUAGGCUUUUAAAAAGGCCUAUUUAAAUAAAUAGGCCACACCUAAAAUUUCAAAGCCUAGCCUAAAAGCUUGCAGACCGGCUUGUAUGAAUUUCACAC
rnacentral:lncRNA from 1 species